rnacentral:rRNA from 1 species
UACAGAGGUCUCAAGCGUUGUUCGGAUUCAUUGGGCGUAAAGGGCGCGUAGGCGGCGGGGUAAGUCGGGUGUGAAAUCUCAGAGCUCAACUCUGAAACUGCACUCGAUACUGCUCUGCUUGAGGACUGGAGAGGAGACUGGAAUUCACGGUGUAGCAGUGAAAUGCGUAGAUAUCAUAAGGAAGACCAGUGGCGAAGGCGGGUCUCUGGACAGUUCCUGACGCUGAGGCACGAAGGCCAGGGGAGCAAACGGG